GUGAAGAGAGGGAGGGAGGUUUUACAGAUGCCUCUUAAGAUUUCUGCAUUACCAGGAUGCUUGUGCAUGUCACUGAGAUAGGGAACACCGGGAAACAACCAGCUUCGAGGUGGAGAAAAUCAUGAGAGGUCAGAGCGUAACUGAAGUGGAGUGAGGCUUCCUUCCUCCGUGCCCGUCUUUCAGUGGCAGAUGGACAACAGCAUGUUAAUGUCCUAUAUAUUACAGAAUACUGUAAGAUGAAGCCUUGGGAGCAGAUGGAGAAUGUCUUUGUCUACAACACUGAAGCCACAGAGCAGUAAGCCAACACUAACACUGGGGACAACCAUCACAUCUGUGUCACUCCCACAGAUGCUGAGAAGACAACUCCCAAUAUGGGGC
rnacentral:lncRNA from 1 species